AUUGAACGCUGGCGGAAUGCUUUACACAUGCAAGUCGAACGGCAGCAUAGGUGCUUGCACCUGAUGGCGAGUGGCGAACGGGUGAGUAAUACAUCGGAACGUGCCCAGUCGUGGGGGAUAACGUAGCGAAAGUUACGCUAAUACCGCAUACGAUCUAAGGAUGAAAGCGGGGGACCGUAAGGCCUCGCGCGAUUGGAGCGGCGGAUGGCAGAUUAGGUAGUUGGUGAGGUAAAGGCGCACCAAGCCGACGAUCUGUAGCUGGUCUGAGAGGACGACCAGCCACACUGGGACUGAGACACGGCCCAGACUCCUACGGGAGGCAGCAGUGGGGAAUUUUGGACAAUGGACGCAAGUCUGAUCCAGCCAUUCCGCGUGCAGGACGAAGGCCCUCGGGUUGUAAACUGCUUUUGUACGGAACGAAAAAGCUCUUACUAAUACUAGGAGUCCAUGACGGUACCGUAAGAAUAAGCACCGGCUAACUACGUGCCAGCCGCCGCCGUAA
rnacentral:rRNA from 1 species